GCUAUUGGCUAAGGAGGGCUUAUCGGCUGGGACCCCUUGUAUGCGGAAGGCCGGGGACAGGGAGCUAGGCGGAGGCUGUGGUCGAGGCCGGAGAGCGCCCUGCGGGGGGCCUGCGGAGACGGCGCCCGCAUUUUCCCAGCUCUGGGUGCGAUCGACUGCUCCUGCCGGUCCAGCAGCGCCCGAGGCGGCCCCUGCCUUGGCCCCAGGUUCUCCCACUUGCCCCGGUCUCUCCCUCCCCAGACUGGGCGCCGCUGCAGUGGUCUCAGCUGCGUGAAAUUCCUUCAAGCCCCCUCUUCCCGCCUCCACCCACGCUGCCUUCCAGCUAUUCAUUCACGAGAAUUUCUUGAAUGCCCACACUAGGCGCUGAGCUGAUAAACUGGGGUCCGUGGCCUGGAACCCUGCUGAGUGUCCCUGGCGGCCUUGCCACAGGGUGCAAAUCGCGUUGAAGAGUGGACCAAGGGCUACUUGAAAAGGCGGUUGCGGAGAAAGAAAAUAGCUUUGAUAAUAAGAAUUAGUAGUUUAGGCAAGUCUUUGAGCCUAUCAAGUAAUUCAUCAAGAGGAGAAGAUAAGUUAUUUUGAGAAGCGAAGCCAGAAAAAUAACACAGGUCCUUGACGCUGGUGUUCGUCCUCGGAUAAUAGGGCUGCUUUGGAGACAGGCAACAGUAGACUGGUAGAAUCGUUCUAUUGCUUAAGGCUUUGAUGGUGGAAGAGAAAAAACACUCUUGUUGAAGUGGCAUAUCCAAGAACAGUGCUUUCUUUCUGGUUUAGGAUGGAGAAGGAACUGACUGCUGUACCCAAGUGAAGAUCUUUACUCAGUUACCCUUAUAUUUGGCUAUAUGGAAUAAAAUUGUGUGAUAUGUUUAUUCUGAGCAGGUACAAAACUUCAGCAAACCUAUUGGUCCCACAUUUUCCCCCCCAUUUAUCAUAUGAUUUGGAGUGACCGGUUGACCUUUGAGUUAAUGAAUAAUUUAAAGCAGUGAAAAAUUUUUUGCAGUAAACUACGGUGUUUUAACCUUGAUAACAUAAGCAUAGUGGUUAAGAUUCUAGGCUUUGUAUCUGAACAUACCCAGAGUCACAUCCAUUUACAUCUUUGAUUUUGGGCAAGUUAUUUAAUCUCUCUGCCUCAGUUCUCUUGUCUCUAAAUUGGGGAUAAAAAUGUUUUCCUGAUAACAGUACCUUUACGUGUAAUGGUUCAUGUAUCGUAUUUAUUACAGUGCCUGUUUUAUGGUAAAUAUUCAAUACAUAUUAGCUGUUUUUAUAAUUAAUUCCUCCCACUACAUCAUGAUCCAAACUGACUCUUUUCUUAAGUGAUGGGGAAGGGAACUGAAUAUUUUAAGGAAGUAGCUAUAAAAUAUGAUUUCAAGUUGUUCUGUAGUAAUUUUGGUGUUCCAUAAGGACAUUUUAAUGUGAAAAAGAUACUGACAGAAUCUAUACAUGGUUUGAAUUUAUUAGUUUCUAAACUAUGACCAGUAUUAGCAGAUUUAAAAUUCAUAAUUAUAGCAAGAAAACGUCAAAGUUGUUUAACAGUGUUAAAAUUUGAAACUGUAAUGAUCCAGAAAAAUGAAAUACCAAACCGAUAAUUUUGGGAAAAAAACAAAACUUGAGUGGCAUUAUGCAGGCCAUUUACUUUUUAAAUGUACUCAAUAUAAACAGGAAUCCCUUCUCUCCAAAUUUCAGUUUUUCAGAAUUUGGGCUGUCAUUUGAAACACUUACUUUGGGCACUUUGACUGUUAAAGAAGCAAAGGGUAUGCUAAGAACUUCAAUGAGUCUUGAUGUUAGUGUUUUUGUAAUUAGGUGGAAUCUCCUACCUUUUCAUGAAAACUGGGUUUAAAGCAGUAGCUGCUGGGUCCAUUCUAAUGAUAAUCUCAAAAAUGUGACUGACUUGUAAAAAUCUACAAUUAUUUAUUAAUGUGAGACUAGGUAAAGUAUGAGUUGAAAAACUAGGAAGAAAGGCAGAGUGGUGAUUUUUAAGCUUGUAUAAAGGAAGGCCCGCUUUGGGUACUAUGAGGUACCUUUCUCACUCAGAGGCAUGCUGUGAGGAUUUGUGACUUUUAAAUCAUUUAGCUCUUUUUAUAACUUUGUGGAAUUAAAUCUACCACGUAUUUCAAGUGUAUUCAGGAUAUGAAUUUUCCUGGUAGAGAGUUUUAACAGAUUUUUUUCUCUUAACCCUUCAUUGAUGACCAAACAAUUUUGUUGUCUGUAAUAAGAAAGUACUCGGUUUUGUAGGGUGUCAGUCCUUAAGAAAAUGUUAGGUAGUCAUCAAUAAAAUAGCAACAAUCUCUGG
rnacentral:lncRNA from 1 species